rnacentral:rRNA from 1 species
GUGGCGGACGGGUGAGUAACACGUGGGAACGUGCCUUUAGGUUCGGAAUAGCUCCUGGAAACGGGUGGUAAUGCCGAAUGUGCCCUUCGGGGGAAAGAUUUAUCGCCUUUAGAGCGGCCCGCGUCUGAUUAGCUUGUUGGUGGGGUAAUGGCCCACCAAGGCUACGAUCAGUAGCUGGUCUGAGAGGAUGACCAGCCACAUUGGGACUGAGACACGGCCCAAACUCCUACGGGAGGCAGCAGUGGGGAAUCUUGCGCAAUGGGCGAAAGCCUGACGCAGCCAUGCCGCGUGUAUGAUGAAGGUCUUAGGAUUGUAAAAUACUUUCACCGGUGAAGAUAAUGACUGUAGCCGGAGAAGAAGCCCCGGCUAACUUCGUGCCAGCAGCCGCGGUAAUACGAAGGGGGCUAGCGUUGCUCGGAAUUACUGGGCGUAAAGGGAGCGUAGGCGGACAUUUAAGUCAGAGGUGAAAUCCCGGAGCUCAACUCCGGAACUGCCUUUGAUACUGGGUGUCUUGAGUGUGAGAGAGGUAUGUGGAACUCCGAGUGUAGA